rnacentral:rRNA from 1 species
UACGGAGGGUGCAAGCGUUAUCCGGAUUCACUGGGUUUAAAGGGUGCGUAGGUGGGUUGAUAAGUCAGUGGUGAAAUCCCCGAGCUUAACUUGGGAACUGCCAUUGAUACUAUUGAUCUUGAAUACCGUGGAGGUCAGCGGAAUAUGUCAUGUAGCGGUGAAAUGCUUAGAUAUGACAUAGAACACCAAUUGCGAAGGCAGCUCACUACACGAAUAUUGACACUGAGGCAUGAAAGCGUGGGGAUCAAACAGG